ensembl:lincRNA
GGGUUCCUUGAAGCCUCAGUGGUGACUGAGGAACUGAGAACAGGUGAGUCAGCCCAGGCAAGCAGCCCACUGCAGAGCCCAGAAAGAGACUUGUCAUCCACCCCAGAGUCCAAGCUCCCAGGACUUCUCAGAGUCACUCAUGAAGCCCCUCAACAGUCCUGAAAUGAAGCUCCCGAGACUGGGUCAGUUACGACCAUCCAGAAGGAGACCAUGCCCAGCCAACUACAAGACUUCCACAUGGCAGGGACCAGCCAGUGCCUCCAGUAAAAAUCUGCAGGCCUCCCACAUCUCCAUGUGCAGAGGCCAAAACCAGCUCUUUUGCUGCCCUGGGAUGACUGACAUUGAGACAAACUACUCCUUCCAGGGAAGCUUUUCACCACCCCUCCGCCAUCUCAGCAACAGUGCUGUAAGUUCAUCUAGCGUCUCUAGUCUACCAACAAAACCCUCUCAGCCUCAACAAUCUUCAAGGAUCAGUUCUACUGAAAAAAAAGAAAAGACAGAAAGGAAGGAAGGAAGAAGGGACACAUCACUAUAAAGCAGUUAUCCUCUGGUUUUAAACAAAAUGCAAAAUGAAAGAAAGAAGAGAAAAAAGGAAUGAACGAGUAAAGAAAAGAAAUACCCCUUUAUAAAAACACCUAACUUAAAUUUCUCCCUACAGUUCAAAUUUAGGUCUUCAGGGUCUUCAUUCGUCUCACAAAAAUGUUGUAAAUCAAAGCAAACUCUCCUUAGAGCAACUGGGGGGAAAAAAUUCUUUCUAAAAUAACAUUUUCCUAUAACUGUUCAUGUGAGUUGAGUUCAUCAUAUGUUAAGCAUGUCCCAUGCUAUGUUAUUUUUCGAGAUGUCUUCAAUAUGAUCAAGGGACAGGCCUCUAGGGCAUCAUCUCUGUUCUAUACCUGGAAAAAACAAUGUACAGAAAUUUCCAUUAAGAGAGGAGAUUGACAGUCAAUACAUAAGACUCAAGAGGCAAGGAAAUCUCAUAGGGGUAAUGCACUGCAUUCAAAUACAGACCUGCCUCGGGGCUCUGAAUAUCCAGGUCCAGAUCUUCGAUGGGUGGAUAAUGCCUGAGGCUUGAUACCGGGUCUGAUGUCCAGGUUUGACAUUUAUGGCAGACCUUACACCCUCCUGCCUUGUGAUUUUGAAAAACUCGAAAUCUCUCCUGAGUCCUCACCUACUGACACUGUGACCCACGUGAGAAGUGUCUGAGAUUAUUUUCCUUGAAAUUAUAAUUCCAGACAACUCCAACACCAGGCAACCCUGGUUACUAACUGGUGGAUUUAAUUUUUCACACUGUGGCAGCAGUGUAGGAAAUCUUAGUCAGUCCCUCCAAACCACAUACACUGGGUUACUCCCUGAAGAAGAGAGCUUGUUAAACACAGAGGACCUCAAAAAGGACCAUGGACCCCAAAUGUUGCCAGUGUCAGAGCCAAAUCCUUCAGUACAUUCACCAAAAGUGAUCCAGCUGGAAGUGUUCUUUCAAGUUCCCAUUAGAGACUAGCACAUUGCCUACCUGGCAGACAUUGUUGCAUAACAGCUGUACUUUGGUGGCCCUGGGAAAAUCCACUGGAAAUCUACCUUUUCCUUAAGCAUAUGGACCUUCCUGAAACCUGUAAGAGAAUGGGGUAGGGUAGGGUGUGUUUUCCAUAGGAGACACAUACAGACCCUCCUAGCACUCGUUUCUAACAUCAGAACAUGAUAACUGUUGGUCAGAGUACAACGCACAGUUGUCGAGAGGAGGGAGAUAUUAGUUUGGUUAAGGAGGAUGAGGAAAGGCUCCCUGGUGGAAGUUAUAGUCGAACUGACUUGAAGGAUGAAGAUUCUUGACCAAUGGAGGGAUUGGAGAAAGACAUGACAAGAAGAGGGUCAACAGCUUAGGCAAUUCAGGAAGGUGGAUGGGACUGUGUUUGGAGAAGAGCAUCCACUCUGCAGGAAUGAGUCAGCACUGGAGGCCAGAGCAGAGCAGUGGCUGCCAUGGUGAGGUGUGGCCUGAUGGGGUAGGGGCUUGCAAACCAGGAAAAAGGAUUUGGACUUUUGUCUUGUGAGAAGUCAAAAGGAAUCAGAGAUACAUAAGAGGCAGUGUGCUUGAAAAGUGUUUUGGAAAGAUCACUGUGGAUGAGAGGAUUGGUUUGGAGACCCAAAGCAGUGAGCUCAGAUAUAAAGUUUGUGUGAAAGCUGAGAUGGACAAUGGAAAGGUCAGGAAUAAGCACCUGGAAAGAGAAAACAGAUUUAAGAGACGUCAAAAGCAGAUGAAUGAUAAGUGGGAGUGAAGGGGGGGAGAGAUGGCCUCUUAAUGGCAUCCCGCUUGUGUGCUGGAAGACUCUCUAGUUUGUAUGUUUCAAGAUUUUGUCGUCAGAAAUUAAUUCUUUCUGUUUUUACUAUAUUAAGACUUUAAGUGUUGAUCUACCUAAGAAUAUUUUUAUUAUGUUUCUAUGGUCCAAACAACUAAUCUCCAAUGACAAAAUUUCAGAAUUUGAGGGUAGGGAGUUUCUAGGCCCUCAAAACUCAUUCUACAACUGGCUGCCCACCCUUCUUAUUUAUGAAUUCA